ACGCUCGACACCUACUGGAGGCAGCAGUGGGGAAUAUUGCACAAUGGGGGAAACCCUGAUGCAGCGACGCCGCGUGAAGGAAGAAGUAUUUCGGUAUGUAAACUUCUAUCAGCAGGGAAGAAAAUGACGGUACCUGAGUAAGAAGCACCGGCUAAAUACGUGCCAGCAGCCGCGGUAAUCUGAGCGGCUGGCAAGGC
rnacentral:rRNA from 1 species